GUCGUGCUGGCACUUUUACUGGCAGGGUCUUAGAGCUGAGCCUGUAGCCGGGCGCCAUCUUUGACUCUGGCAGUCUUGGAUUUCUGCUGGUGUUGCUGCUGAGAAGACGGCGGGCGGCAGCGGCUAAGAAAGAAGAAAGACGUGGCAGCAAGCGGGAGUCGGGGAUAGUGUCGACGGUUCGGUAAAGUUUCUGUUCUCUGGGCCCCACUACUUGGGAGAUUUUCUCAAACUCCACACACAGAAAGCCACCGACCUUAUUCCGAUUUGGGGAUAUUCCCUGCCCAAAAAUUUCCUGGAAAAUUGACUAGUAUUAAGUGCGUAAUAAAUUGGAACUCAGUGAAGACACAGACAUUCCUGUUGAGAUCAACCAGCUAAUGUAAGUGUGGAAAUGGGUUUGUUUUUUUUUUUUAAUCAUUAAAGGGGUAAACAUUUUUGUAAUUUAUGGCAUAAUUUU
rnacentral:lncRNA from 1 species